AAUGAACGCUGGCGGCAGGCCUAACACAUACAAGUCGAACGGAUCCUUCGGGAUUAGUGGCGGACGGGUGAGUAACGCGUGGGAACAUACCCUUUGGUACGGAAUAGCCUCGGGAAACUGGGAGUAAUACCGUAUGUGGUCGAGAGACGAAAGAUUUAUCGCCAAAGGAUUGGCCCGCGUUGGAUUAGGUAGUUGGUGGGGUAAUGGCCUACCAAGCCGACGCUCCAUAGCUGGUUUGAGAGGAUGAUCAGCCACACUGGGACUGAGACACGGCCCAGACUCCUACGGGAGGCAGCAGUGGGGAAUCUUAGACAAUGGGGGAAACCCUGAUCUAGCCAUGCCGCGUGCUCGAUGAAGGCCUUAGGGUUGUAAAGAUCCUUCAGGUGGGAAGAUAAUGACUGUACCACCAGAAGAAGCCCCGGCUAACUCCGUGCCAGCAGCCGCAGUAA
rnacentral:rRNA from 1 species